rnacentral:rRNA from 1 species
UACGUAGGGUGCAAGCGUUGUCCGGAAUUAUUGGGCGUAAAGGGCUCGUAGGCGGUUCGUCGCGUCGGCUGUGAAAACCCGGAGCUCAACUCCGGGCCUGCAGUCGAUACGGGCGGACUUGAGUUCGGUAGGGGAGACUGGAAUUCCUGGUGUAGCGGUGAAAUGCGCAGAUAUCAGGAGGAACACCGGUGGCGAAGGCGGGUCUCUGGGCCGAUACUGACGCUGAGGAGCGAAAGCGUGGGGAGCGAACAGG